rnacentral:rRNA from 1 species
AUUGAACGCUGGCGGCAGGCCUAACACAUGCAAGUCGAACGAGUGGCGGACGGGUGAGUAAUGUCUGGGAAACUGCCCGAUGGAGGGGGAUAACUACUGGAACCGGUAGCUAAUACCGCAUACCAUCGGAUGUGCCCAGAUGGUAUUAGCUUGUGGGUGGGGUAACGGCCCACCUAGGCGACGAUGCCUAGCUGGUUUGAGAGGAUGACCAGCCACACUGGAACUGAGACACGGUCCAGACUCCUACGGUAGGCAGCAGUGGGGUAUAGUGCACAAUGGGCGCAAGCCUGAUGCAGCCAUGCCGCGUGUAAUAAGAAGGCCGUCGGGUUGUAAAGUACUUUCAGCGAGGAGGCGUUACUCGCAGAAGAAGCACUGGCUAACUCCGUGCCAGCAGCCGCGGUAAUUG